rnacentral:rRNA from 1 species
UCACUCUAUAUUAACUAUAAAUCUAAAAUCUAAAUUUCAGGUGAAGAUGCCUGAAUUCCCAUGAAAGACAAGAAGACCCUGUAGAGUUUAAAUAAAAUAACCAACCACCCCUUGAUACUUAUUUUGAUUGGGGCGAUAAAGGAUUUCCUUUUACAUCCUUAAUUAAUACGAUAUUACUUCUUACUUCUUAUCCUAACUACUAGAAUUUAAACUAAACUACCUCAGGGAUAACAGGCUUAUCUUCCUAAAAAGUCCAAAUUAACAGGAAGGUUUGGCACCUCGAUGUUGGCUUAGAGAAACCUAAUAAAGCAAAAAUUAUAUAGGUUAGUUUGUUCAACUAUUAAACCUCU